rnacentral:lncRNA from 1 species
CCAUAGCAAUUUCCGAGUCCCUGGCACCAUCCAUUGACCUCUGAUUGAUGUUUGCUGAUCCAAUUAUUAUGUAUUCAUCAUCUACUGCAAAGGUAAAUUAAAUUGCUACAUCAUGUUUUUAGACUAAGAUGUCACAUUUGAUGAUCAGUAAACUAUAAUUAAGGGAACAAAAAAAAACUUAGAGAAGCAGUAAAAAUUCCAAGGAGAUGACAAAAAGACUAGGAUCUAUAAGAAACAAGUUACCUAUCAUCAUCUUAGCAUGAACAUAGAUCAUGAAUCGCCUUGCUUGCUGAGCUCUAAUGUAAUCUGUAUUGUUGCCUGGCUUUUCUGAAGGUAAAUAUUCCCCAUUUUUCUUCUUCUCCCUGUUGCCUAAGCAAAAAAAGGUUAAAUAGUCCUUGGGGUUUGCCUGAAGACCUUUGGCAUGGAGGGCUUGAAUUAUAUCAGUAUACAUCAUCUCCAUGGUCCUCUUUUGCCAAUUCAAUAUUACUUGAACAGAUGGACUCUCUGGCACACCCUCCGGCCACAUUGGAAUCACAACAUAGACUGUAAAUCUCUCCCCUUUCUCAAUUUUACUAACAAUUUUCAUUGACAGUUCUUUAGGUAUUAGAUGCAAAGCACCAAUGUCCCCAUCCUUAAUGUCAGUUGAGUACCAAGAGAAGGAGCUCCCUAGGAAAUAUUGAUUUUCAAUGUAAAUGAAAUUCUUUGCUCGACGAAUAGCAUUGAUAUAAGCAUCCUGAAUGCUUCGGUCAAUAAUGUUAUCUUUACCACUAAUCAGGCCGACUCUGGCUGCAGCCUCAGGAGAGUCUGGAAAUCCAAAGGCUGCUCCACCAUCAAUGGAUCGAAACAGCUGAACAUUCCAUGCUUCUCUGUCUUGUGGAAACAUAACUUCAGAUGGUGGUAUAAUAAUGUGUUCAAGUUCUCUUAGUUGAACUAGAAUCUCCUUGACGCCUUGUUUCCUCCACCUCUGCUCAAAAUUGAAGAGCACAUCCCAAGCAAUAGGUCCUUCUAGCUUGCAGUGAAUAUCAUGCCAAGGUUCCCUUGGCCCACCUUUCUUAAUAGAUGCACCAUCAAAAUUAGGCUGAUGAAAAUCAUCAUGGUGGGCAGUGCCCAAAGUCCCAAAAAUGCUAUGAAAAGGAGUAUCAUAUCUCCCAUCACAAAGAUCAAUACCACCGAUAAAACUCACAAUUCUCCUUCUCCUGGUAUCUCCGUUUGGCAUCUCGCUGUCCACAACAACAAUCUUUUGGUGAUGGGUAAACAUGGUUGAGAUUGCCAAGUCCUGAACAAUGCUACGUCCAUCAUCUGGAUUACGGGGACAUAAAAGACAGUGGACUUCAGUGUUUUGGAAGUAAUUUCCUGUUUCCUCAUCGUGAGUUGCCAUCAAUCCAUCCUGCUUCAGUGUCUUAACAGAAGUUCUAUCAUCCCAAACAAGCAUCAAAACCCUCACGCCUUCAUUGGCCUUUUUCUUAAGUAACUCCCCUAGAGUGAUGUCUCCGCCAGGCUUUUGCCUCCUCGAGUCCCUUAUCAAACUGAUUUCAGUAUAAACAGACCAUCCCGCUAUGUAAAUUAAGUGCUUCGCAUUAGAAAUGGCAUCAAAUACAUCUUCCCAGCAUCGGUGUGGCUCAUAAUACUUUCCCCCGGACAGAGGGAUUUUUGGAAUAAAGUUGUUUGGAACAUGAGCAUCUUGGUAAAGAGAAACUCUACACCCAUUUCUCUGAGGGAAAAAUGUGUAAGGCACACCUGGAUAUUUUGGACUUAUUAUUCCUCGAGACCAAGUACAUUCUCUAGUAACAUCAAAAUACUGUAGUUUCACAUGGAUCUUAGAAUGUCCAUGGAUUGGUUUAUGGUUUGUAUCAAGGAUCUCAAGCCAUCUAUCCACUUCUGCUCCGUACAGAAGUUCUUUUAUGGGCAUGUAAGCUCUUCCAAUUAGUACAGCCCCAAUAGGGUUAUCUUCUUUGAUGGUAAAUAUAACAUUGGAAGCCAUAUGGGCACAGUAUAUGUGAAAAGACUCGUACCAUUGGGGAUUGGAGUGUUCAUCUUUUAACAGUCUGGUUCGGCCAACUCUAGCCUUUUCUAGAUCGAUAGUUGCAUAAAGAUGGGAAGCAGUCUUGUCAAAACCUACAACUUUCUCUACGUCUUGGACCAGCUGUAUUAAAAGUUCAUUGGUGAGGAUAUGAGCGAAAUGAAAACAAACUAAACUGAAUCUUAUUGACGAAGCUAUAGUUGACCUAAACAAAACAGCUGUUUGAAAUUGCCAAAUCAACAACUACAAAAAAGAAAUGCUUGAGCUCUUCACCAGCCAGAAAAAAACUGUUAUUCUUCCAUUUGUUUCAUUGUUUGUGCACCAUAUUAUUUAAAACUUGCAUCAACUGCUUCUACUCCUUUACAAUAUACCUGAAUAUACAAUAUGAAAAGCUUGAUUUGGUACACCGUACACCACCACUUGAGUGUUGAAAGGUCAACUUCUAAAAGCUUGAAACAAUUAUAGUGUUUCUACCAAUGGCUUCCUAAAUGUCUUAGUAACGUUCACACACACAACACAUGCGGACACAUGACCUCUCUUUUUUAAUUAAUUUGAAUGUUCAAGUUUUGCAAAUAAAUAAACCGAGGAAAGCUGUCAAAACAUUUACAGCAAAAUUCUUCAUAAUAUUCUACAAGACUUUGAACAGUUUUGGCUCAUUAAUUAGCACAACUAAUCGUGUGUCUGUUAUAACCGAGAUCUAGAAAGGUUCAAAGGCAAUUCAUCAUCCGCAACAUUAACUAUAAAUGUGUGACAUGUGUCUAUUUGUUGUGCAAAAUUUCUUGUCCACCAAAAAUGCUUAGCAACCCAAAUUUGUAACUUGGCUGGCUGAAGAUGGUUGAUACAUUAUAUGAAAUCGAAAAAGUUAAUCAACUAAUUCAUCAAAUAUUAAGAAUAACAGAAAUUAUUAACAAUAACAGAAAUUCUGAUAUAAGCAGAAUGAAGUUUGAGAUUUUGAGUUCACAUCAGAGUUAGUGUUGACAAAACAGAUGAAGAAAAAAAAAGUAAAGAGGAAAAAGUCCUUCCUAUGAUAGCCAAGGCUUUUGGCCCGAAGCUCCUGUCACUUUUUCCUUCUUUAUUUCAUCUCUCAUCCCUUAUUCUUAUCCCUACUUGCACAUUGUUGUUCAGCAGCGACUAUAUUUAUAAAUUACUAAAACAAUUAACAGAGAAAAGAAACUGGUUAGGUUUUCAGUGUCCCAUAUUCUAUAAUACAUCUAUAUUAUACAUAUUGAAUUGCAUUAUGAGGAAUAACUCCCCUUCUUACUUGUCAAUUCCCUCAUAUCCAACCUCCGUAAUAUGCUUAGCCUUUUGCUAGUUAGACUAAUAACUUGUCACCUUUCUUUAUUCAUUUCUAUUGAUUGGACAUGACAAGAAAAAUAUAGUUAAAAAUCAAUGAAGAGAUUGACAAGGUUAAGUAUACUGUAAACAAAGUUGAAUAAGUCAAUUUUUGUUUUAAAUCUCUUACAACUAAUGUGAUUGUUCUGAAAGUUAUAUUGUUCAUAAGUUUCGAAAAGACUUUGUUCAAUUUUAAACACAUUAGAAGUAAUUUGUUGACAAAUCAUCUAGCAAUCAUGGCAGAUACUUUGAUAGUACAGCUCUGUUUCCUUAAAGUUGCUCCAACCUUACAGGAAUUCAACUGAAAUUAAUAUUCAUGAGUUUAUCAUAGUCUUGAUGUUUUGAACCAUUUUUUAGGCAUUAAUAUAUAUAUAUACACACACACACACACACACACACACACACACACACAGACUUGGAUAACAAAUUACACCUAAUGAGCAAGAAUUAUCACAACCCCUUUUGUAGGAACCACAAGUACUCAUACACAUAGAGAUAGAAUGGAAGAGUAAAAUGAAUAGAGAGUACCUUAUGGAAAAAUUUGCGGCCAAAACCAGCAUGAAGCUUGUCGACCUCAUAGAUAGUAGCAUGAAGGGUUCCAUGGAGCAAAAUCUGAGCCAUUUAAGCUGUACCCAGAUGGAACCUCAAACUUCAACUGCUUAAACUAUGUACAAAAAAGUUGUAUAUAGAGAGAACUUGAGAUGUGGGAGAUGAAAGAAAAAGGUCAAAGGAAGAGGAGAUGAGUAUCAAGCACGAUCCAUCCAAAGAAAUUCAACUUUCUCUUUUAAAUGGAGAGAGAGAGAGAGAGAGAGAGAGAAGGUGAAAUUGGCAAAGUGGUUGUGGUUUGUAUAUACAGGGUUUAAGUUCUACUUUAGUGGUUGAAUUUUGAGCAACAAACUAAAAAGUCCCUAUCAAUUCUCUAUUGAGUUGGGUCCCUACAUGUUGGGUUCUAGAACAAGUUUUCCAUGUGACCAAAUGAAAAGUCUCCAUUUGGUCACAUUAUCCUCGUUCAUAAGAAUCUUGAUUUCACUCAAGAUGAUUAGGAAGCAUGCCAUAUUGGAAAAAUCAAAGACUAACUACAGCUAAUAUUUCCAGUUGAGUGUCUCUAUUGCCUAAAGUAUCAUAUAUUUUAAUGCUAAAAUAAGUAUAUACAUAUGCAAAAUUGCAUUAUUUGCUUCGUUAGAAAAGCCAUCUAAUUUUAACAUUUUCUUAAUAAAUGGUUUGGAG